CCCGCGGUUGCCAUCGAUCGCUGCUCUGAGCGACGGUGCCCCAUGGUAGCGUCUUCCUCAGCUUCACUCUUUCUCUAUGAGGAGUUGUCCGCUGCUGGAGCUGGAGCUCUCGUGGCCCGUGGCCGUCGUCCCGGCAGUUCUCAACCACUCAUAACCGGCCCGUGAGCAUGUCAAGCAGAGUCUUGACAGAGGUUGCAUUGCUACCUGUGCAAACCCGGAGGGGGCAACAAGCAAGCAGAAACUUUUGGACGAUCCUCGCGUGAUCGAUGUUAUCGCCAAGCGAGUGGAGGGGCGUCGUGACACUGGUAAUACUCAUGACCAAGUUGUCAUAUGGGUAGAACUUCUAAAAGGUUCUCGAAAAAGGAGUAAUUUUUUCUGGGCCUGUAUUCUUUUUCUAGGUUCACUAGGAUUCUUAUUGGUUGGGACUUUCAGUUAUCUUGGUAAGAAUAUUAUAUCUAUACUUCCAUCUCAAGAAAUUCUUUUUUUUCCGCAGGGGGUCGUGAUGUCUUUCUACGGAAUCGCAGGCCUAUUCAUUAGCUCCUACCUGUGGUGUACUAUUUUGUGGAAUAUGCGCUUCUAGAGAAUUCAAAGGGAUGGCAGAAGGGUUACCUGGUGCAGCAAACAAGAGCAGCAAAACCACUCCUUCAUGGAAUUCCCAUACAAAGCGACAUAUCAGCCAUGGUCACUGAAAAGUUUGGGCAGCCCAGGUAGUUCCAGACAACAAGAACAAAUAUCAAAUUAUCCAAGUUCUGUUAGGAGCGAGACAAGCCAUCCAGGACUAACUGAUAGUGGAAGUAGACCACCAGAUUCAGAAUCCUACCAUGAGGCUGAAUGUGAAGAGUAGAGUGAACCAGGUGUUUAUAGUAUUCUCACUGGCUCACUGCCUUUCUGGAGGUGCCAGAGAUCUCAAGCGUUCGAUUCAGCCCGAAGAGCUUCAGUGAGACCCAAGCAGAACAAUAGUGGCGGGGGAACAGGGCAAGGGUAUACAAGCAUUACAAUGUUCGCAGGGUUGACAAGGACAUUAUUGUAUAGUGACGGUAAUGCCGGUUUGGUCCCAGAAGAAAAUGUUUCCACCCCACCAGACCACCACACACCCUGUCUGGAAUGGCGUCGACCUUGUGCUGCCUAUCAUUGUAUUGCUUGAUCCAAGUGUGUUUAGUGUGGUGCUUGAUUUGGGUGCUGCGGAGACGAGCAUGCAUAUGGCGUGCUUUUUGGUGAAGAACCCUGGUGGGGACUGGGGAGCAACGUCAAUUGUUCCAUUCGCCAUCUUGCGUGCACCUGAAGCUACUAACUAUGCAACAAGACUGAAACUCCAGCAAGAAGAAGCAGAGUUGUGUUUCUAGCCAUCCGACUAGACUGAAAGUCCAACAAGAAGAAGCAGAGUUGUGUUUUUAGCCAUCAGACUAGACUGAAACUCUUAGCAUUUUCCUAUCAAAUUUGUGCACUUGAAGCUCAGUCAUGUAUGGUGCGAUGUUGUGUACACUCUGUAAGGUGCAAUGUUGGAGUAGACCUUAAAAAAUUGCCAACAAACAUGCCAACACGCCUAUAAAAAAAAUUGCCAACAAA